ensembl:lincRNA Gm26640 predicted gene, 26640
ACACUCAAACCUCCUCAGGGUACCGGUUAUCUCUUGCUUUCCCUGUGAAGGUGUCUUGCUCCAUGAUUUGCCUUGCUCAGUGUGAUUGGAUGGAAGUUAAGUCUGAGAAGAGAGGGGAACACCAUUGAGUGACUCUAUGUAAUUGUUGCCAUUGGCUGUAACCUCCCAGAUAGGGCCUGCUUGUUCAGCCUGCUUCUCAGAACCAAAAGGGUGUGCAGAUGAGAAACCACUGAGUAGCAAUGGAUAGUAAUAUGAACAAAGCAUGUCGAGAGGAGCUGGGGAGAAGGUGAAGGCUUGCCAUGGUCAAGCUGGCCCAAGCCAUUCCAGGGACUAUCUUUCGUUUCUAUUGCUGUGAUAAAACACCAUGACCAAAGGCAAGGUGGAGAAGGAAGGGUUUAUUUCAACUUACAACUCUUGGUUGACUCCAUCACUGAGAGGAUUUGAGGCAUAAACUCAAGGAACAAACCUGGAGGUAGCAACUGAAGACAUGGGCUGGAGAAGACUGCUCUUACUGGUUUGUUCCUCAUGGUUUGUCCAGGCUGCUUUCUCAUACAACUCAGGACCACCCCGCAGUGGGCCAGAGGUGCACCACCCGUCUGUAACUCCAGCUUCAGGGGAUAAUCUGAUACCUCUUUUUGGCUCCAAGAACAGCAGGCAUAUACACAUAAAUGCAGGCAAAACAUUCAUACGUGUAAAAUAAUUAAAUCAUAUAUAUGUGUGCAUAUAUAUAUAUAUAUAUAUAUAUAUGUAUAUUUUUUAAAGUGCUCAGUGGGUGAAGUGCUUGUUGCACAAGCAUGAACACUUGAGUUUGAUUUCUCAAGCUGGGUGUGGCAGCACGUGUCUGUAACUCCAGUGCUUGGGGGUUGGGGGCAGGCAGAGCCCGCGGGCCAGCAUGUUGGGGGCAGGCAGAGCCCGCGGGCCAGCAUGUUUAGCCAGGCUGGGGAGAUGAAUCAGUGGGCAAAAGAGCUUUCACACAAUCCUGAUGACUUGAGUUAGGAGCUCUAGAAUCCAUACAGAAAGGCUGGAUGUAAUAGUACAAGCAUCCAUGCUAUCUAUGUGCAGGCACAGUAGUGGUGCUGGUGAUGACGGUUUGGUGAUGGGGUAGGUACCGCUGUUGGUGUUGGUUGCUAUUUGUGUGUUCCACAUCUCCCCGGCUCUCUCACAUACAUCUCAGAUCACUUUGUUUUGACCCCACAUCUAUAGUGGCCUCCAAAUGACUACAGGAUACAGCACGCCCACCUUCCUUCCUGGACUCCUUUUGAGGUUGCUUCUGUUUUCAUUCAGUGACUGCUCCCUUACUUCGCUGAAUACAUUCUGGUGUCAACAGGAGGAGGAGCCUUCCGUUGAACAAGCCCCACUCAGUGGUCUCACUUCUUGUCUUCAAUCAAAUGCUUCCUCUUUCACCAAGGCAGCCACCCUCACAGCUAACUUCUUUGUCUGCUUUCCCACAGGAGGACGGCUUUGUGUCUCUAGCGUUUUUUUUUUCAUGGAGCGUUUUGCAGUUAGUGGCACAAAACUGUACACUCAGUACAGUGUUAGGGACUUUUGGGCACUCAGAAGGGCUGUGUUAAGCUCACCAAAUACAUGGCCUCUAAAUUUUGCAGAAAUAAGCAUCCCACUGUGUGUGUGUGUGCGUGUGCGCACGCACACACACUUGUGUGUGCAUGCAUAUGUUUUGAGACAGGGUCUCAAGUAGCCCAGGAGAUCUUGAAUCCACUGGAUAGCUGAAGAUGACCUCAAACUCUAAAUCCUCUAAACAUCAUCUCCCAAGUGCUGAGAUUACAGGCAUGCACCUCCACACCUGGCUUCCUAAUUUAUGCAUGGUUCUUCCUAUAAUUUGGAUCUUGAGAUGAUCCUCAAGGGCCUAUGUGAUGAAGGCUGGUUCCUCAGGAGGCACUGUUGAGAGGUGGUGGGACCUUUAAGAGCUGGGGCCAAGUGGAAGGUGUACUGUGGGACCCCUACCCCUUCCUCUUCCUCUUUUGCUUCCUGGCCACGUCUUCCGGUGCUUUGCUUUGCUUUGCAUCUCCACUCUGUACUGCCUGACCCCAGAUCCAAAGCAGGGUCAGUAGACUACACACUGGAACUGCUAAGACAAAAGAAAUCGUGUCUAUUUCCAUCUCACAGGUGUUUCUUCUAGAGACAAUGCUGCCUAACGUAGCCGCCACUUAGUUACUGGGCAGCCUUCCCUCAUUACCUUCAUUGUCAAUCAACAGUAUUUCCUUCCUACCCUGAACUGGGCCCAGGGAGGGAAAUGAUGUUUGGCUUCUUCAAACCAUGAUGAGGUUCAUCAUGCUCAGGCCCUGUCAAUUAAAGCGUCAAGCCCGUGGGGGAAGGGAAGCCCGUGGGGGAAGGGAAGCAUGGGAGCUGCUUGGCUUUAGCAUGACCUGAGAGGAGGCCAGUGAAGAUUCAGUAGGCUUUUCUCUCUUCUUUCUUGUAAACUAAUGAGCUUAUGAGGCCCACUUACAGGAGCAUUAGCUAGAGACUUCUUACUCAAGCAUUGGGACUUAAUUCAGCCCCAUCCUACCCUGGGUCACUACAAAAGCUACAUCUGUGGGAAUCACUAACAGCAGAGAAAAAGAGCCCUUCCCUAUUCAGAGGUGAUGGAGGCCUCCAGGUACCAGCUGGAGUUGAUCUGUUAUGUAAACCAGGCAUUGGCUCCCCAACCUGUCUGUCCGCUGAUCUGCCCUGACUGCCGGUCUCACUACUAGGUUUUAAAUUUCUUGUGACCAGGAGGAUACAGCUCAUUUGAACUAACUGCCCUCAUCUAUUUAUCCAGUCCCUUGGGGGUAAGGCAAAAAUGUGGGGCAAACCCUAUCCAAUUGUUUCCCUCCCUCCCCUCCUACAGGAAAAGGCUACCCCUGUAAUCAUAAGCCUGCUUCAGUGCCCAAUACCCUUGGGCUCCUCCUCCAUUAGCCCCACUGUGCUGGUCCCACCCCUUCCCUGUGGGUCAUGAAAGGGUGUGACCUCCUUCAGUUCUGCCGCCACAACGCACGCACCCGCUGCUCUCUUCCACCCUCAGAGGAUCUGUCUGGGAGGCAGCUCAGCCUAUGCUCCCUCUAUAAUGGCUAACGCAUUCGCAUAAGGUUCAGAGACAAAAAACUAGGCUGAUCUCCGUGGCUGCAGUUCUGAAGAUGUUCCGCAAGUUGUGAUAUAAUGCGGUUUUAUCUGGCCUUUGUUUUUAUUUCACCUCAUUCUGUUAACACCCAAUAGAAAACCUCGUGUGUUUGUGUCUGAGGGAUGGACCCCGACCUCGCCCAAUUUCCCACAUUCCUGAAUGAUUCUUUGCAUCCUUUCCUCUCAGACUUUAACAAAUCACUGCUUCUGGUGUGCGUGAAAGGUUAAGAGGGCAGAAGAAAAGGUAGGAUUUGAAGAGCCGAUCAAAAGCAAAGCUUAAUCUUUUGGACAGCAUUUUUCAAAAUGGGGUUAAAAUUGACAUGGAUCGCAUUAAGGGCGAAGCAACUGAGAACCCAGGAAACCGCAUGUCGAGAAGCACGUAAAACAAAAAUAAAAACGAUACAUCCUCC